GGAAGUGCUUGCACCUCUGGUGGGGGCCGCGGUCUUCAAAACCGUUGGGCCGUGUGUGAACCAUACGGUCGGUGGGUUCGAUUCCCAUGCACUUCCGCCA
rnacentral:tRNA from 2 species